rnacentral:rRNA from 1 species
GAUGAACGCUGGCGGCGUGCCUAAUACAUGCAAGUCGAGCGAACAGAUAAGGAGCUUGCUCCUUUGACGUUAGCGGCGGACGGGUGAGUAACACGUGGGUAACCUACCUAUAAGACUGGGAUAACUUCGGGAAACCGGAGCUAAUACCGGAUAACAUUUGGAACCGCAUGGUUCUAAAGUGAAAGAUGGUUUUGCUAUCACUUAUAGAUGGACCCGCGCCGUAUUAGCUAGUUGGUAAGGUAACGGCUUACCAAGGCGACGAUACGUAGCCGACCUGAGAGGGAGAUCAGCCACACUGGAACUGAGACACGGUCCAGACUCCUACGGGAGGCAGCAGUAGGGAAUCUUCCGCAAUGGGCGAAAGCCUGACGGAGCAACGCCGCGUGAGUGAUGAAGGUUUUCGGAUCGUAAAACUCUGUUAUUAGGGAAGAACAAACGUGUAAGUAACUGUGCACGUCUUGACGGUACCUAAUCAGAAAGCCACGGCUAACUACGUG